rnacentral:rRNA from 1 species
UUUUUAACGGCCGCGGUCCUCUGACCGGGCAAAGGUACCAAAAUCUUUUGCCUUAUAAUUGAAGGCUAGUAUGAAGGGUUUGACAGAAAUAUAGCUGUCUCUUUACAAUUUGAUAGAAUUUUAUUUUUANGUGAAAAAGCCUUANUUGAAUUAAAAGACAAGAAGACCCUAUCGAGCUUAANAGAAGUUGNNGNAUAAAACUUUUAUUUUUAANAGGAAUGACUAUGUUAUACUUUGGGUGGGGCGACUGAGGAACACACAAAGCUUCCUUUACGUACUUAUUAUAUCCAUGAUUGAAGAAAUUAAUUACCGUAGGGAUAACAACAUUAUCCUUUUUGAGAGUUCUAAUCUAAAAAGGGGUUUGUGACCUCGAUGUUGGACCAAAAUGUCCGACCGGUGCAUAAGUCUUUAAGGGUUGGUCUGUUCGACCAUUAAAAUUCUA